GAUGAACUCUGUCGGCGUGCCUAAUACAUGCAAGUCGAGCGAACAGACGAGGAGCUUGCUCCUCUGACGUUAGCGGCGGACGGGUGAGUAACACGUGGAUAACCUACCUAUAAGACUGGGAUAACUUCGGGAAACCGGAGCUAAUACCGGAUAAUAUAUUGAACCGCAUGGUUCAAUAGUGAAAGACGGUUUUGCUGUCACUUAUAGAUGGAUCCGCGCCGCAUUAGCUAGUUGGUAAGGUAACGGCUUACCAAGGCAACGAUGCGUAGCCGACCUGAGAGGGUGAUCGGCCACACUGGAACUGAGACACGGUCCAGACUCCUACGGGAGGCAGCAGUAGGGAAUCUUCCGCAAUGGGCGAAAGCCUGACGGAGCAACGCCGCGUGAGUGAUGAAGGUCUUCGGAUCGUAAAACUCUGUUAUUAGGGAAGAACAAAUGUGUAAGUAACUAUGCACGUCUUGACGGUACCUAAUCAGAAAGCCACGGCUAACUACGUG
rnacentral:rRNA from 1 species